GACGUAGGGCGCGAGCGUUGUCCGGAUUUAUUGGGCGUAAAGAGCGUGUAGGCGGCCAGACAGGUCAGCUGUGAAAACUCGAGGCUCAACCUCGAGACGUCGGUUGAAACCGUCUGGCUAGAGUCCGGAAGAGGAGAGUGGAAUUCCCGGUGUAGCGGUGAAAUGCGUAGAGAUGCGGCGGAACACCGAUGGCGAACGGCAGCCCCCUGGGCUGAGAUUGACGCUCAGGCACGAAAGCGUGGGGAGCAAACAGG
rnacentral:rRNA from 1 species